CGGUGGAGUAUGUGGUUUAAUUCGAUGCAACGCGAAGAACCUUACCUAGGUUUGACAUCCGAAGACCUUCCGAAAAGGAAGGGUGCCCUUCGGGGAAUUCCGAGACAGGUGCUGCAUGGCUGUCGUCAGCUCGUGCCGUGAGGUGUUGGGUUAAGUCCCGCAACGAGCGCAACCCUAUUGCCAGUUGCUACCAGGUAAUGCUGGGCACUCUGGUGAGACUGCCCCGGUUAACGGGGAGGAAGGUGGGGACGACGUCAAGUCAUCAUGGCCCUUACGCCUAGGGCUACACACGUACUACAAUGGCGCAUACAAAGGGCAGCGAUACCGCGAGGUGGAGCCAAUCCCAAAAAGUGCGUCCCAGUCCGGAUUGCAGUCUGCAACUCGACUGCAUGAAGUUGGAAUCGCUAGUAAUUCGAGAUCAGCAUGCUCGGGUGAAUGCGUUCCCGGGCCUU
rnacentral:rRNA from 1 species